GUAGGUGGCAAGCGUUGUCCGGAAUUAUUGGGCGUAAAGCGCGCGCAGGCGGUCCUUUAAGUCUGAUGUGAAAGCCCACGGGCUCAACCGUGGAGGGUCAUUGGAAACUGGGGGACUUGAGUACAGAAGAGGAAAGCGGAAUUCCAAGUGUAGCGGUGAAAUGCGUAGAGAUUUGGAGGAACACCAGUGGCGAAGGCGGCUUUCUGGUCUGUAACUGACGCUGAGGCGCGAAAGCGUGGGGAGCAAACAGGAUUAGAUACCCUGGUAGUCCACGCCGUAAACGAUGAGUGCUAAGUGUUAGGGGGGGUUUCCGCCCCUUAGUGCUGCAGCUAACGCAUUAAGCACUCCGCCUGGGGAGUACGGCCGCAAAGGCUGA
rnacentral:rRNA from 1 species